GUAGAAAAUACCUGUCGUGGCUUAAACAGGUGUGGAAAUACUACAAACUAGUAAACAUAAUAAUCACUGCUUAACUAAAAUGUUACAAACCAACAAAACAGUGGAAAAAAGACUAGUUGGUUACUGGAGAUUUAGGUAGCAAGGAGCUGUGGGGAAAACACUGUUGUAGUUAGCUAGUUACAGGAGAUACAGGUAGCUGUGGGGAAAACACUGUGUUAUAGUUAGCUAGUUACAGGAGAUACAGGUAGCUGUGGGGGAAACACUGUGUUGUAGUUAGCUAGUUACAGGAGAUACAGGUAGCUGUGGGGGAAACACUGUGUUGUAGUUAGCUAGUUACAGGAGAUACAGGUAGCUGUGGGGGAAACACUGUGUUGUAGUUAGCUAGUUACAGGAGAUACAGGUAGCUGUGGGGGAAACACUGUGUUGUAGUUAGCUAGUUACAGGAGAUACAGGUAGCUGUGGGGGAAACACUGUGUUGUAGUUAGCUAGUUACAGGAGAUACAGGUAGCUGUGGGGGAAACACUGUGUUGUAGUUAGCUAGUUACAGGAGAUACAGGUAGCUGUGGGGGAAACACUGUGUUGUAGUUAGCUAGUUACAGGAGAUACAGGUAGCUGUGGGGGAAACACUGUGUUGUAGUUAGCUAGUUACAGGAGAUACAGGUAGCUGUGGGGGAAACACUGUGUUGUAGUUAGCUAGUUACAGGAGAUACAGGUAGCUGUGGGGGAAACACUGUGUUGUAGUUAGCCAUCCUGCUAACGUUAGCUAGUUACUCCUUGAUGAUGAGUAAAUCACAUCCCCUUCACUGGGCCCCACUAAUGAGCAAACGAGGCCAUUGUAAAGAAAGAGCCUCAAAUCUGGACACUAGGAUCCCCACCUCUGGAAACCACACACCCCCAACACCACACAAACUUU